rnacentral:tRNA from 1 species
GCGGGAGUGGCGGAACAGGCAGACGCGCACGUUUGAGGGGCGUGUGGUUAACACCGUACGAGUUCAAGUCUCGUUUCCCGCACCA